CCCUUAGAUGUCCGGGGCCGCACGCGCGCUACACUGAAGGAAUCAGCGUGGCUUUCUCCCUGACCCGAAAGGGUUGGGAAACCCGUUGAAUCUCCUUCGUGAUAGGGAUUGGGGCUUGAAAUUGUUCCCCAUGAACGAGGAAUUCCCAGUAAGCGCGAGUCAUAAGCUCGCGUUGAUUACGUCCCUGCCCUUUGUACACACCGCCCGUCGCUACUACCGAUUGAGUGGUCCGGUGAAGACCUCGGACUGUGGCUGCGGUUGCUUGAUUGCGACUGUGUGCUGUGGGAAGUUGUCUAAAUCUUAUCACUUAGAGGAAGGUGAAGUCGUAACA
rnacentral:rRNA from 1 species